ACUUGCUGUGUGAUUCCUGCGUGUGUACUUGUCCUAGCACAGUAGCUGUGUGGAGAAACCGAAGUCACUACUGUUGUCUAUACUGUUUGGAUUUAACAUGUACAUAUGAUAGUUACUGUUGUCUCAGACCCUGAAAGGCAGUUUAGGCUGGGCCAGUGGAAUAGUUAAAUUUUGCCGUUUCACUCAAAACUACAGAAUUAAAACUGUGCUCCUCCGAGUACAGUCGGAGAAUAAAAAAGCCCACAAAAGAGUA